rnacentral:rRNA from 1 species
UGGGGAAUAUUGCACAAUGGGCGCAAGCCUGAUGCAGCCAUGCCGCGUGUGUGAAGAAGGCCUUCGGGUUGUAAAGCACUUUCAGCGAGGAGGAAGGUGGGUGAGCUUAAUACGCUCAUCAAUUGGACGUUACUCGCAGAAGAAGCACCGGCUAACUCCGUGCCAGCAGCCGCGGUAAUACGGAGGGUGCAAGCGUUAAUCGGAAUUACUGGGCGUAAAGCGCACGCAGGCGGUUUGUUAAGUCAGNUGUGAAAUCCCCGGGGCUCAACCUGGGAACUGCAUUUGAAACUGGCAAGCUAGAGGUCUCGUAGAGGGGGGUAGAAUUCCAGGUGUAGCGGUGAAAUGCGUAGAGAUCUGGAGGAAUACCGGUGGCGAA